CCAGACUCCUACGGGAGGCAGCAGUGAGGAAUAUUGGUCAAUGGGCUUACGCCUGAACCAGCCAAGCCGCGUGAGGGAGGAAGGUACAGAGUAUCGUAAACCUCUUUUGUCAGGGAACAAAGGCGGGGACGUGUCCCCGGAUGAGUGUACCUGAAGAAAAAGCAUCGGCUAACUCCGUGCCAGCAGCCGCGGUAAUACGGAGGAUGCGAGCGUUAUCCGGAUUUAUUGGGUUUAAAGGGUGCGCAGGCGGCCUGUUAGGUCGGCGGUCAAAGCCGGGGGCUCAACCUCGUCGAGCCGUUGAAACUGGGUGCCUUGAGUGGGCGAGAAGUACGCGGAAUGCGUGGUGUAGCGGUGAAAUGCAUAGAUAUCACGCAGAACUCCGAUUGCGAAGGCAGCGUACCGGCGCCCAACUGACGCUCAGGCACGAAAGCGUGGGUAUCGAACAGGAUUAGAUACCCCCGUA
rnacentral:rRNA from 1 species